rnacentral:siRNA from 1 species
UCUGUGAUGCUGUCAAUCCUA